AGGAGAGAUGAUUAGAUUAGAAGAGGUCUGCUGUAAAUAACACACAAGAAGGGCAUUUUGUUUCUUUCUGGCCCUCUUUUGUAUCAUGUUUUAUACAAGGGAAAAGAGCAUAAUACAACAUCUAUGAAAUGUUAAUGAGGGUUACUCGCUAUUUACCUAGGUUGGGGGUUUGCAGAGAAAGCGGGGCUGGGCUGGGGGGAGGGAGGUGGAGAAGAUCAGAUUCCAUGCAAAUACAGACAUCCGGGAGCCUGGAAGGCUUUGGAACCAGAGCCGGACUGGACCCAUUGUAUCUGGAUGGAGGGGAAAGAAAGCAACAAAUGCUAUGGCUGGAAUGGUGUUUUCCCUCUUGCCCAGAAGCAAAGCAGUGUGAGCCCGGAUGGGAGCCUCCAGCAGCCCUGGGCUUGCAUUCUCCUGGUUUAGGAAGUCUCCUGGUCCCGCGGAGGUCCUGGCUUGAAUCUCAUUGGACCGCCGAGUCAUCUGCCAAUCACAGAGAAUUUUGGAGCAGUUGACGUUGCAGUGAGAUCAUCUUCCAGGCAGGACGGAAUAGCCGGUGGCAAGCCACAGUUCCAUCGAGAACAACACAAAUGGAUGAAAAAUAGAGAAAUCAUUUAUUUGGAGGUAUGAGAGGACACAGAGACAACAAAACCCAGAGAAGGGAUAAUUUUGGAAAAGUGAGCUCUUUUCAGCUCUUUCUACAGCAGGGGCAUUUGUUGAUCCUGGAUAUGGACUGGAGGCUGGUAAUCUGGGCUUUCUACAGGUAGCAGGACGCUGCUGAAAGCAAAGACGGCAGGAGAUCUUUGGGCAGAGACUUUGGAGGAGGCUCAGGCAUCUGGCUCAUUUUUACCUCAAGCAACUUACUAAACUCUGGAAUUUAAUGGAGAAGACGGCUUAGAACCUAGAUGGAAAGGUUCUAUAAAGCAGCAGAACUUUUGUCAGUCUUGCAACACAAAGAUGAGAGUUUGAGGCCCAUCAGAUAGUUCCUGGCUGAGAAUCAUGGUGUGGUAUAAUAAAAAAUAUAUAUGUAUUUGAUCUUUGUCCCCAGUUCCUGGCACAGAGCUUUUAAAACCCUUGGAACUUCCUGAGAGAUAAUAAUGGCUUUUGUAUCCUAAUGACAUGACUGGGGGCUGUGGGUCCCUGAAAAGCUUCAGAAUGUGGGCUGGUCAAGAAAGAUCGUGUCUUGAUUGGAGGACUAGAACUGUCAGCUCCACCCUCUUCCCCCCACCCCCACCAGACCUCAAUCCGGGUGGAUGAACAUAUUGAGGUCCUCAGUGCUCCACAGCACUGCCCUCACCCCACACUUUGCCCUGUGCCUCUCUUCCAUUUGGCCAUUCCUGAGAUGUAUACUUUAUCAUAAAUAGGAAAAUGGAGGUAAAGUGUUUUCCUGGGUUCUCUGAGUCAUUCUAGCAAAUUACUGAACUUAAAGAGGGGGCCUGUGGGAGUCCCCAGAUGUAGAAACAUUUGGUCAGAAGUACUGGGAGUUGCUACUGGCAUCUGAAGUGAGGGCAUUUUGUGGGGGCUGAGCCCUUAUGCUCUGGGAUCUGCACCAACUCCAGAUAGUUAGUGUCAGAAUUGGAUUAAAUCAUUGGCUACUCAGAAUCAGAUCAUUGGUGUUGGAAAAGACACCACAUAUUUGGCAUCAGGGAGAAAAACCUCUCAUACAGGGAACUAUUCCCAAGAAACAAGGGCAAAGUAGAGGCAGAUGGAACCAGACCGGAGCUGAAAU